rnacentral:rRNA from 1 species
AGAGUUUGAUCCUGGCUCAGGAUGAACGCUGGCGGCAUGCCUAAUACAUACAAGUCGAACGAGAGGAAGGAGAGCUUGCUUUCCUGAAUCUAGUGGCGAACGGGUGAGUAACACGUAGGUAACCUGCCCAUGUGCCCGGGAUAACUUCUGGAAACGGAUGCUAAAACCGGAUAGGUAGCAGACAAGCAUUUGACUGCUAUUAAAGUGGCUAAGGCCAUGAACAUGGAUGGACCUGCGGUGCAUUAGCUAGUUGGUGAGGUAACGGCCCACCAAGGCGACGAUGCAUAGCCGGCCUGAGAGGGCGGACGGCCACAUUGGGACUGAGACACGGCCCAAACUCCUACGGGAGGCAGCAGUAGGGAAUUUUCGUCAAUGGGGGGAACCCUGAACGAGCAAUGCCGCGUGAGUGAGGAAGGUCUUCGGAUCGUAAAGCUCUGUUGUAAGAGAAAAACGACAUUCAUAGGGAAUGAUGAGUGAGUGAUGGUAUCUUACCAGAAAGUCACGGCUAACUACGUGCCAGCAGCCGCGGUAAUACGUAGGUGGCGAGCGUUAUCCGGAAUGAUUGGGCGUAAAGGGUGCGUAGGUGGCAGAUCAAGUCUGGAGUAAAAGGUAUGGGCUCAACCCGUACUGGCUCUGGAAACUGAUCAGCUAGAGAACAGAAGAGGACGGCGGAACUCCAUGUGUAGCGGUG